rnacentral:lncRNA from 1 species
GGCGACGCGUCUUCACAAAGUAUGGACGAUGUUGUUCUAUGACCGUUACAUCUUGAUGAUGAACGAUUGAAGUAAAUUCAUAAAACACAUUCAAAGCUAGCAAGUUGUUAUUGUUUGCAUUUGUGGUUGUAUAGACCAUUGGAAGUAUGUUCUUAUUACUAACGGUAUUGAAGACUUGAUCACUUUGAUAGGCCACUUGUCUUAAUAUCAC